rnacentral:rRNA from 1 species
GACGAACGCUGGCGGCGUGCUUAACACAUGCAAGUCGAACGGAAAGGCCCUGCUUUUGUGGGGUGCUCGAGUGGUGAACGGGUGAGUAACACGUGAGUAACCUGCCCUUGACUUUGGGAUAACUUCAGGAAACUGGGGCUAAUACCGGAUAGGAGCUCCUGCUGCAUGGUGGGGGUUGGAAAGUUUCGGCGGUUGGGGAUGGACUCGCGGCUUAUCAGCUUGUUGGUGGGGUAGUGGCUUACCAAGGCUUUGACGGGUAGCCGGCCUGAGAGGGUGACCGGCCACAUUGGGACUGAGAUACGGCCCAGACUCCUACGGGAGGCAGCAGUGGGGAAUAGUGCACAAUGGGCGGAAGCCUGAUGCAGCAACGCCGCGUGCGGGAUGACGGCCUUCGGGUUGUAAACCGCUUUCGCCUGUGACGAAGCGUGAGUGACGGUAAUGGGUAAAGAAGCACCGGCUAACUACG